AGUGAACGCUGGCGGUAGGCCUAACACAUGCAAGUCGAACGGCAGCACAGUAAGAGCUUGCUCUUACGGGUGGCGAGUGGCGGACGGGUGAGGAAUACAUCGGAAUCUACUUUUUCGUGGGGGAUAACGUAGGGAAACUUACGCUAAUACCGCAUCCGACCUACGGGUGAAAGCAGGGGAUCUUCGGACCUUGCGCGAUUGAAUGAGCCGAUGUCGGAUUAGCUAGUUGGCGGGGUAAAGGCCCACCAAGGCGACGAUCCGUAGCUGGUCUGAGAGGAUGGUCGGCGACACUGGAACUGGGACAGGGUCCAGGCUCCUACGGGAGGCAGCAGUGGGGAAUAGUGGACAAUGGGCGCAAGCCUGAUCCAGCCAUACCGCGUGGGUGAAGAAGGCCUUCGGGUUGUAAAGCCCUUUUGUUGGGAAAGAAAAGCAGCAGGUUAAGACCCCGCUGUUCUGACGGUACCCAAAGAAGAAGCACCGGCUAACUUCGUG
rnacentral:rRNA from 1 species